CUGCCCUUGUGACCUCAAACAGGGAGUGCUCUGAUAGAAAAAAAUGAACAGUGCAUUCACUUCUCACCUCUGACAGCUGGCCUGAGAUUGAUAUCUGCCAUUUCUGCCUUCACUAGGGUAUCAGGUAAUGAGAGCUGGUAAAGGAUUUGGUGAUGUCAGAAUAAAAGCCUUUCAUAAUACUAAGAACUGUCAGAAUGCUUAAAAAUAUGACCAUGGGACGUCGUCACCAGCAAGAACUUUUUUGUGAGAUGUGAUGAGCAAGUGGAUAUCAACUCAUAUCAACACCAUGAAACACUGCACUGUUGGUCACGAAAGAGGAGAUACAUCACACCAGAGACGGAUGAAGCUAUUUGUGCCAUUUACAAUGCCAAGGAAACAGACAGGGUGCCUAUGGCCAUUAUUUCAAAGCUAUAAAACUUGUGUCUUUGCCCGCAGUGGAAUAUACUCUAAAUUGGUCACAGUCAAAAAGGAUUCAAAAAACCAUGAGAAAAAUAGAAGAAAGAAAACCUUCCCAGAUCAUUGUUGGACACACAUACAUGUACACAACUGAGUGAUAACAGAGAAGGAACUCAAGGAUCCCGAUGAUGUCAUUUGGAUCAUAUAAAACCAGAACCAUCCUGUGCCAAAGACCUUCCUGCUCGCUACUUUUACACUGAGUGAUGGAUAGGGCCUAUGAACUUCCACUUGCUCCAGUGGCUUCUCUAAGAUAGCCUGCAUUUGAGAAGGGAAAGAAGAUCCAGACAUAGACCUUACUAGCCACCCUGCUGGUGAUGAAUGUCUCCAGGCUGCAGGUGAAAACGGUGUCUGAGGCAGCUCAUGGAGGAAGCAUCUGUGAAGGCCCCACGGAGACAAAACGUUUGAGUGGGACCUUAAAAUAAAAGUAGAAUUUGGACCAUCGGACCUGAAGGAGAGUUGCAAGAACGUGUCUCCUCUUGGUGCUGUCAGUGCGCUGCACAGGGAUCAUGGGCUUGGGCAGCCGUGUGGGAUGAAAGCCUUCAGCCAGAGGGCUUCUCAUCAUCUCACUAUAGUUCUGGCGUCUUCCUAUCUCUGAAUAUGGAGCAGAAAAACACUCUAAGUGCAAUUUUCUCAGAGAAAAGAGAGACUGAGGGAGAAAGGCAGAGAAGAGGCGUCUGAAACUGCUGAAGGAUCUGGAAGAAUGACCCAUAGCUUCAAGGGAGAAGAUUUGAGUUGGAAUUGGAGGAAGCUGGCAUUUGCCUGAAGAACCAAGGAUUCAUUGCAUUCCCUGCCACACCUAAGGCAAAAGUGUGACUUCACCUGGAACUUCCUGCUGUCACCAUCCAUUCAUCUGCAGACUUUUGUUCAGUUUUUGUUCAGUCAGAUGAUGAAGUCUAUCAAAAAUGGCAAGGUUCUGAAACUGCUUCUGGUAAAUUUUAGCAUCUCCACAGAUGUAGGCAUCAGUAUUUCCUCGUAUAUAUUAACAAUAAAACUUUAUCUGGUCCUCCCUUUGGUCCUGCAGGGGAGGCAAACAUAUCUUUUUUUCCUCUACUCUCUUAGAUUCAUAAGCUGGGGUCUGCAAAUUAGACUGACAAAAGAAAGAUUAAUAGGAGGAAAAAAACACAGUUUAUAUAUGUAUACAAUGGGCAUACCUGCGGGAGAACUCAGUGAUGAGUAACUCAAAGAGGUGAUUAGAAUUGGGGACCUAUAUACCAUCUUAACAAAUAAAGUUUUAAGAUGUUUUGAUAAAGAUAAGUUUUGAUAAAGUUGUGGGGAAGUGACAAGACAAAGGACAUGGCAUUUGAGUUUCAAGAGUGGUAGAUUGUAGGAAG
ensembl:lncRNA